GUCCUGGCCCUAAACGAUGAAUGCUUGGUGUGGCGGGUAUCGAUCCCUGCCGUGCCGAAGCUAACGCAUUAAGCAUUCCGCCUGGGGAGUACGGUCGCAAGGCUGAAAACUCAAAAGGAAUUGACGGGGGCCCGCACAAGCGGUGGAGCAUGUGGUUCAAUUCGACGCAAACGCGAAGAACCUUACCCAGGCUUGAACUGCGAGUGACAUCCUACGAAAGUAGGCUUCCGCAAGGACACUCGUAGAGGUGCUGCAUGGCUGUCGU
rnacentral:rRNA from 1 species